rnacentral:rRNA from 1 species
CGGGGGACUACAGAAGGAUCGCGGCUAUCUGCAGUCGAGCGAUGGAUUAAGAGCUUGCUCUUUUGACUUUAGCGGGGGACGGGUGAGUAACACGUGGGUAACCUGGCCUGAAGACUGGGAUAACUCCGGGAAACCGGGGCUAAUACCGGAUAACCUUUUGAACAGCAUGGAGCGAAAUUGAAAGGCGGCUUCGGCUGUCACUUAUGGAUGGGCCCGCGGCGCAUUAGCUAGUUGGUGAGGCAACGGCUCACCAAGGCCACGAUGCGUAGCCAACCUGAGAGGGUGAUCUGCCACACUGAGACUGAGACACGGCCCACACUCCUACGGGAGGCAGAAUAAGGGAAUCUUCCGCAAUGGACGAAAGCCUGAUGGAGCAACCCCCGCGGGAGUGAUAAAAAGUUUUCGGAUCUAAAACUCUGUUGUAAGGGAAGAAAGAGUGCUUACCUGUUAACAACCUGCCACCAUUGACGGAACCUAACCCGAAAAAGCCUCCGGGUUAACUACGCCCCAGCAACCCGGAUAAGUACGAAGGGGACAAGCGGAUUUAUCCGGAAUUAUUGGGGCGUAAAGCGCGCGCAGGCAGGUCUCUUAAAGACGGAUGAGAAAUCCACCGGGCUCAACCUGGUGAAGGGCCAUUGGAAACUUGGCAGAUCUAGAGGCCAAUAGAAGAACCGGUAGAAUUCCAGGUGGAAAUGCGGUGAAUAUCCGUAGAAAAUAUGGAGGAACACAGGGGGCCAAGUGCGACUUUCAGGGAUGAACACUGCACGCUAGAGGCGCGAAAGCGUGGGGAGCAAACAGGAUUAGAUACCCUGGUAGUCCACGCCGUAAACGAUGUGGUCUAGGUGGUAGGGGCUUUGCGCCGUGUAUUCCGGAAGUAACGCCUUAAGUCUCCCCCCUGGGGAGUUCGGCCCCAAGGUUAAAACUCAAAGGAAUUGGCGGGGGCCCCCCCAAGCGGUGGGGCAUGGGGUUUAAUUUGAAGCAACGGGAAAAACCUUUCCCGGUUUUGGCCUCCAUAGAACACCCCAGAGAUAAGGUUUUCCCUUUGGGGACUAGAGUGCCAGGUGGUCCAUGGUGUUGUCAAGUUGGGUUGGUGAAAUGUGGGGUUAAUUCCCCCACGGAGCCCACCCCUAUCUUUUAGUUCCCAUCAUUAAGUUGGGCACUCUAAGGAGACUGCCGGUGACAAACCGGAGGAAGGUGGGGAUGACGUCAAAUCAUCAUGCCCCUUAUGACUUGGGCUACACACGUGCUACAAUGGCGGAUACAAAGAGAAGCAACCUCGCGAGAGGAAGCUAAUCUCAUAAAGUGGUUCUCAGUUCGGAUUGUAGUCUGCAACUCGCCUCCAUGAAGUCGGAAUCGCUAGUAAUCGCGGAUCAGCAUGCCGCGGUGAAUACGUUCCCGGGCCUUGUACACACCGCCCGUCACACCCACGGGAGUUGGUAAGCACCAGAAGUCGGUGGGGUAACCUUUGGAGGCCAGCCUUCCUAAGGGGAGGUUA